ensembl:lncRNA
CUCUGGCUCUAGGGUCGUUGCUGCCAGAGCGAUGGUAGCUGAGACGCAGCGGAGCGGAGGUGGAGUGCCUGGAUUAAAACAGGACAUAUUAGCAGCAUUUAACCUUCAGUUACUCUUUAUGUAGUUAGAUAGGAGUCAUGUUUCUUUUUAGCUGAAAAACCUUACACCCAGAGAGAGACAGCCAGGUUCAUAAUGGAUAUAAGGAAGUUUUUUCAAAAACAGGAGCCACAUUCAGUCCAAAGAGGGAGAGAGGAAAGAGGGGAACAUGAGGAGAAAGUACAAGGUCAGGAAGAACCAGCCUUCUUGGCCAGGGUGAAGGGAGUAUCUGCCAUCAAACAAGAAGACAGCCGCAUUCCAGCAUGCUGAAGUCUCCUCUUCACUGCUGAUGUUGAGACUGAUGUUCUGUUUGAAGAAACUGCCAAGCUGAAGACCUGUGUGACGCCCGUGUCUCAGAUUGAAGACUAACAUACUUGUCCUCUCGCUCAGUUUUUCAUCAGAGCCUCCCAUUUUGCACUGUCCUUUGAAGGGAGCAGGACACACCUGCUUAUAUGGAAAAAUCAAAUUUCUGACAAUUUCAGUGAGAAAUAAAUGCCAGUUUUCAUUUAUUACCAUAACUAGGUGAAUGGAUAGCAACAGUCAGUUAGCAGUUUUACAUGAUAAAGUUGCAUUAGUGAACACAAUGUAGAACACAGCAGACAUGGUUGAUGAGAAUGUGGUUCUGCAGAACUACGUAGGUAUUUCAUAAUUAUUGGAUUUAUUGGUUAAUAAAUCCAAUAAUUAUUUUUAUAUAUGGAGUAUUUCUGAUUAAUGUUCUGUUUUUUUGAAUGAAAAUCAAAAUCAAAAACACCAACCAACCUGUACUGGCUGGUAUUCUAUUUUUUCUUUUUAUAUCAGUAAUAGUUUAUUUCUAUUUUUAAUAACUAUGAACUAUAUUUUCAUGUAAUUAUAAAGCCAGGUCUGUCAGUGGACAAGUAAACCUGCCUGAAACUCUUUCUGACACCUCUCCAAGCAUUUCGGUCCAUGUUCUGGUUUAAUUCGUUGGUUGCUCUGCCUCUUUCUUUGAUCCGGAAAAGCAAAGUGCAUGCUGACAUUUGGAUACUGUGCAGACAACACAACAAGGAUUCCAUCUAUCAAGCAGAAGAACACUCGCUGGCCUAAAACAGAACUUUUUUAUGUGAUGCAGCUCUGCAGGUAUUUGUUAGAGCAUCAGAUCUCAGCCCACCACGGAGCCUGCGCCCUGUGCCAAACCAAACCUCCUGUUUUAAAAAAUAAUUAGUUGUAUUUCCAUUCAUUUAUCCUCUUAUCCUCUUUCUGACACUACUGUGACAUGUCCCCUCCAAGCACGACUUCAAGUGAUCAAUUCAGCUGGAGAUGGUGGAAAUAUGUGGCUUUUGGGUUUGGGCAGCAUCCCAUUUCGUCAAAAAUAGUAGACAUGCCUAUCUGGAGAGAGCAUGGGAAUAAAAUGUUAACUGUAAAGCUGGCAAAAUAACGAUGGCUG